rnacentral:rRNA from 1 species
UACGUAGGGGGCUAGCGUUGUCCGGAAUCAUUGGGCGUAAAGAGCGUGUAGGCGGCCCGGUAAGUCCGCUGUGAAAGUCGGGGGCUCAACCCUCGAAUGCCGGUGGAUACUGUCGGGCUAGAGUGCGGAAGAAGGCGAGUGGAAGUUCCUGGUGUAGCGGUGAAAUGACGCAGAUAUCAGGAGGAACACCAAUUGCGAAGGCAGCUCGCUGGGACGUAACUGACGCUGGAGAACGCGAAAGCCGUGGGGAGCAAACAGG